rnacentral:lncRNA from 1 species
CCCACGUGGACGCACACGGGCUCGCGGGGCUCGAAGCGUCCCCUCCUGCACGCCGAGUGGCGACUGCGAGCCUCCCACCCGCACACAAAGGAGAUGGAGACGCCCCUCGGGCCUCUGGGGAGAGGGCGCCGGCCCUGGAGCAAGCUCGGCUCCCGCCGGGGCUGCCCACUCCCAGAGCCCUCACUCCCCCGACGAAGAACUACCACCGCCCAGAAGGUCCCUCCUCACCUGGCUCCAGGCUCCCGAACCCCCAGGGGACGCGCGCAAGGGGGGCCACACCGCCCGUCGCCCCUUUGCCCUCCAAUUGGCACGGAGGCACGAGGUGGGCCAUUCCCCUCCCCCCACGAGGGCCCUCGCCUGCUUGCCCCCCUCCACACUCCCAUUGGCUGUGAAGUGUUUGAAGGACAAGCCCUCCACCCUCAGGAUUCUUUUCUGAACCCCAAGAAUUCCCCCCGACUCCCCACCAAUGGUUAGGCAUUCAGUUGACUGCGAACAUCCCCGCCCCAAGGGCCCCUUCUCACCUGGAUCCUGGAAAUUUCCGGGGGGGACUCCCGUGUCGCCCUCGGCAGGGUGCGGGGGGAGGAAGCAAUCCGGGGUGUCAACCCCCCCCCCCGAAACCGAAGCGGCGUUGGGGGAGGGGACGCAGCCCCAGCCCCUCCCUUCCCGAGCGGGUUUGGGGAGGGGAGGGCCUCGUGGGCGCGCGGCCACGUCAGCAGCAUCCGGAUUGGCUGCCGGGGUCACCUGGCCGCCCCUUCCUCCCCCUCCCCGCCACGAGGGCCAGUUUUCCGAACGUUCCUGGGGCUCGUGUGAGGGGUCCAAGGGCGCCUCUUGGCCCAGGCCCACGUCUCAAACCCAGAGCACGCUAAUGCUGCUGCUUCUCCACAUGUCCAGCUUCCUGUCCUGCCGUCGUCGACCCUGUCCCCCCCGCCAGCCUCUCGAUCUCCCAGGUAACCUGUCACCAAGGCGCACUGUUCACUAA